rnacentral:rRNA from 1 species
AUACGUAUGUCGCAAGCGUUAUCCGGAUUUAUUGGGCGUAAAGCGCGUCUAGGCGGCUUAGUAAGUCUGAUGUGAAAAUGCGGGGCUCAACCCCGUAUUGCGUUGGAAACUGCUAAACUAGAGUACCGGAGAGGUAGGCGGAACUACAAGUGUAGAGGUGAAAUUCGUAGAUAUUUGUAGGAAUGCCGAUGGGGAAGCCAGCCUACUGGACAGAUACUGACGCUAAAGCGCGAAAGCGUGGGUAGCAAACAGGAUUAGAUACCCUGGUAGUCCACGCCGUAAACGAUGAUUACUAGGUGUUGGGGGUCGAACCUCAGCGCCCAAGCUAACGCGAUAAGUAAUCCGCCUGGGGAGUACGUACGCAAGUAUGAAACUCAAAGGAAUUGACGGGG